AGCCCACCAGCUAGCUCGCACCCUAAAUUACAACAACUCAAUAUUAAUAACCCCUAAUAACCUAACAUAAACCAGAAUCAAACCAUUUUUCCCCCUAAGUAUGGGCGACAGAAAAGGACCCACGUCGAAGCAACAGUGACAGUACCGCAAGGGAACGCUGAAAGAGAAAUGAAAAAAACCAGUGAAGCAUAAAAAAGCAGAGCUUAACCCUCGUACCUUUUGCAUCAUGAUUUAGCAAGAAAUUAUCAAGCAAAGAGCAUUUUAGUUUGACCCCCCGAAACCAGGUGAGCUACUCCAAGACAGCCAGUAGGGCCAACCCGUCUCUGUGGCAAAAGAGUGGGAAGAGCUUCGAGUAGAGGUGACAGACCUACCGAACCUGGUUAUAGCUGGUUAUCCAGGAAAUGAAUAGGAGUUCAGCCUUUUAUCCUCUCCCCCCACAGCCGACUACAUCCCCAAGUACCUGAGAAGAUAAAAGAGUUAAUCGAAGGGGGUACAGCCCCUUUGAAAAAGAUACAACUUCCACAGAAGGGUUAAGAUCAUACCAUAAACUAAGGAAACGUGUUCUAGUUGGCCUAAAAGCAGCCACCCACACAGAAAGCGUUAAAGCUCAUACACCCCCUCCUCCCCACUAUCCGGACCACAACAUCUUAUCCCCCUAAACAUACUGGAUCUUUGCAUACCCCUAUGCAAGAGACCAUGCUAAUAUGAGUAAUAAGAGACCCCGACUCUCUCCAAGCACGAGUAUACAUCGGAACGAACCAACACCGACAAUUAACGGACUCCAAAGAAGAGGACACUGGAACAUAAUGGCAAAACCACAAGGAAAAUAUCCAUGUCUUCCCCGUUAACCUUACACCAGAGUGCACCCAUGGAAAGACUAAAAGAGUGAGAAGGAACUCGGCA
rnacentral:rRNA from 1 species